rnacentral:rRNA from 1 species
GACGAACGCUGGCGGCGUGCUUAACACAUGCAAGUCGAACGGUAAGGCCCUUCGGGGUACACGAGUGGCGAACGGGUGAGUAACACGUGGGUGAUCUGCCCUGCACUUCGGGAUAAGCCUGGGAAACUGGGUCUAAUACCGGAUAGGACCACUGCCUGCAUGGGUGGUGGUGGAAAGCUUUUGCGGUGUGGGAUGGGCCCGCGGCCUAUCAGCUUGUUGGUGGGGUGAUGGCCUACCAAGGCGACGACGGGUAGCCGGCCUGAGAGGGUGACCGGCCACACUGGGACUGAGAUUCGGCACAGACUCCUACGGGAGGCAGCAGUGGGGAAUAUUGCACAAUGGGCGCAAGCCUGAUGCAGCGACGCCGCGUGAGGGAUGACGGCCUUCGGGUUGUAAACCUCUUUCAGCACCGACGAAGCGCAAGUGACGGUAGGUGCAGAAGAAGGACCGGCCAACUACGUGCCAGCAGCCGCCGUAA